rnacentral:rRNA from 1 species
UGGGGAAUCUUGCACAAUGGGGGCAACCCUGAUGCAGCGACGCCGCGUGAACGAUGAAGCCCUUCGGGGUGUAAAGUUCUUUCGGCAGGGAAGAAUCAUGACGGUACCUGCAGAAGCAGCUGCGGCUAACUACGUGCCAGCAGCCGCGGUAAUACGUAGGCAGCGAGCGUUGUUCGGAGUUACUGGGCGUAAAGGGUGUGUAGGCGGCUCUCCAAGUUUGGUGUGAAAUCUCCCGGCUCAACCGGGAGGGUGCGCCGAAAACUGGAAGGCUAGAGUGCGGGAUGGGAGAGUGGAAUUCCUGGUGUAGCGGUGAAAUGCGUAGAUAUCAGGAGGAACACCGGUGGUGUAGACGGCUCUCUGGACCGUAACUGACGCUGAGACACGAAAGCGUGGGUAGCAAACAGGAUUAGAUACCCUGGUAGUCCACGCCCUAAACGAUGCAUAUUUGGUGUAGGUCAUUCAGUUGAUCUGUGCCGGAGCUAACGCGUUAAAUAUGCCGCCUGGGGAGUACAGUCGCAAGGCUG